rnacentral:tRNA from 1 species
GCCUUUGUGGUGUAACUGUUAGAACACUCGGCGCGUAUUCGAGAGGCCCAGGUUCGAAUCCUGGCAAAUUCA